AGUGAACGCUGGCGGUAGGCCUAACACAUGCAAGUCGAACGGCAGCACAGUAAGAGCUUGCUCUUACGGGUGGCGAGUGGCGGACGGGUGAGGAAUACAUCGGAAUCUACUUUUUCGUGGGGGAUAACGUAGGGAAACUUACGCUAAUACCGCAUACGACCUACGGGUGAAAGCAGGGGAUCUUCGGACCUUGCGCGAUUGAAUGAGCCGAUGUCGGAUUAGCUAGUUGGCGGGGUAAAGGCCCACCAAGGCGACGAUCCGUAGCUGGUCUGAGAGGAUGGUAAGCCAACCUGGAACUGGGGACCGGUCCGAACCCCUACGGGAGGCAGCAGGGGGAAAUAUUGAACAAUGGGCGCAAGCCUGACCCAGCCAUCCCGGGGGGGUGAAGAAGGCCUUCGGGUUGUAAAGCCCUUUUUUUGGGAAAAAAAAGCAGCAGGUUAAAACCCCGCUUUUCUGACGGUACCAAAAGAAGAAGCACCGGCUGACUUCGU
rnacentral:rRNA from 1 species